UACGAAGGGGGGCUAGCGUUGCUCGGAAUCACUGGGCGUAAAGCGCACGUAGGCGGCUUUUUAAGUCAGGGGUGAAAUCCUGGAGCUCAACUCCAGAACUGCCUUUGAUACUGAGAAGCUUGAGUCCGGGAGAGGUGAGUGGAACUGCGAGUGUAGAGGUGAAAUUCGUAGAUAUCGCAAGAACACCAGUGGCGAAGGCGGCUCACUGGCCCGGUACUGACGCUGAGGUGCGAAAGCGUGGGGAGCAAACAGGG
rnacentral:rRNA from 1 species